rnacentral:rRNA from 1 species
UUAAGCGACUAAGCGUACACGGUGGAUGCCCUGGCAGUCAGAGGCGAUGAAGGACGUACUAAUCUGCGAUAAGCGUCGGUAAGGUGAUAUGAACCGUUAUAACCGGCGAUUUCCGAAUGGGGAAACCCAGUGUGUUUCGACACACUAUCAUUAACUGAAUCCAUAGGUUAAUGAGGCGAACCGGGGGAACUGAAACAUCUAAGUACCCCGAGGAAAAGAAAUCAACCGAGAUUCCCCCAGUAGCGGCGAGCGAACGGGGAGGAGCCCAGAGCCUGAAUCAGUGUGUGUGUUAGUGGAAGCGUCUGGAAAGGCGCGCGAUACAGGGUGACAGCCCCGUACACAAAAAUGCACAUACUGUGAGCUCGAUGAGUAGGGCGGGACACGUGGUAUCCUGUCUGAAUAUGGGGGGACCAUCCUCCAAGGCUAAAUACUCCUGACUGACCGAUAGUGAACCAGUACCGUGAGGGAAAGGCGAAAAGAACCCCGGCGAGGGGAGUGAAAAAGAACCUGAAACCGUGUACGUACAAGCAGUGGGAGCACGCUUCGGCGUGUGACUGCGUACCUUUUGUAUAAUGGGUCAGCGACUUAUAUACUGUAGCAAGGUUAACCGAAUAGGGGAGCCGAAGGGAAACCGAGUCUUAACUGGGCGUUAAGUUGCAGGGUAUAGACCCGAAACCCGGUGAUCUAGCCAUGGGCAGGUUGAAGGUUGGGUAACACUAACUGGAGGACCGAACCGACUAAUGUUGAAAAAUUAGCGGAUGACUUGUGGCUGGGGGUGAAAGGCCAAUCAAACCGGGAGAUAGCUGGUUCUCCCCGAAAGCUAUUUAGGUAGCGCCUCGUGAAUUCAUCUUCGGGGGUAGAGCACUGUUUCGGCAAGGGGGUCAUCCCGACUUACCAACCCGAUGCAAACUGCGAAUACCGGAGAAUGUUAUCACGGGAGACACACGGCGGGUGCUAACGUCCGUCGUGAAGAGGGAAACAACCCAGACCGCCAGCUAAGGUCCCAAAGUCAUGGUUAAGUGGGAAACGAUGUGGGAAGGCCCAGACAGCCAGGAUGUUGGCUUAGAAGCAGCCAUCAUUUAAAGAAAGCGUAAUAGCUCACUGGUCGAGUCGGCCUGCGCGGAAGAUGUAACGGGGCUAAACCAUGCACCGAAGCUGCGGCAGCGACGCUUAUGCGUUGUUGGAUAGGGGAGCGUUCUGUAAGCCUGUGAAGGUGUACUGUGAGGUAUGCUGGAGGUAUCAGAAGUGCGAAUGCUGACAUAAGUAACGAUAAAGCGGGUGAAAAGCCCGCUCGCCGGAAGACCAAGGGUUCCUGUCCAACGUUAAUCGGGGCAGGGUGAGUCGACCCCUAAGGCGAGGCCGAAAGGCGUAGUCGAUGGGAAACAGGUUAAUAUUCCUGUACUUGGUGUUACUGCGAAGGGGGGACGGAGAAGGCUAUGUUGGCCGGGCGACGGUUGUCCCGGUUUAAGCGUGUAGGCUGGUUUUCCAGGCAAAUCCGGAAAAUCNAGGCUGAGGCGUGAUGACGAGGCACUACGGUGCUGAAGCAACAAAUGCCCUGCUUCCAGGAAAAGCCUCUAAGCAUCAGGUAACAUCAAAUCGUACCCCAAACCGACACAGGUGGUCAGGUAGAGAAUACCAAGGCGCUUGAGAGAACUCGGGUGAAGGAACUAGGCAAAAUGGUGCCGUAACUUCGGGAGAAGGCACGCUGAUAUGUAGGUGAAGCGACUUGCUCGUGGAGCUGAAAUCAGUCGAAGAUACCAGCUGGCUGCAACUGUUUAUUAAAAACACAGCACUGUGCAAACACGAAAGUGGACGUAUACGGUGUGACGCCUGCCCGGUGCCGGAAGGUUAAUUGAUGGGGUUAGCGGUAACGCGAAGCUCUUGAUCGAAGCCCCGGUAAACGGCGGCCGUAACUAUAACGGUCCUAAGGUAGCGAAAUUCCUUGUCGGGUAAGUUCCGACCUGCACGAAUGGCGUAAUGAUGGCCAGGCUGUCUCCACCCGAGACUCAGUGAAAUUGAACUCGCUGUGAAGAUGCAGUGUACCCGCGGCAAGACGGAAAGACCCCGUGAACCUUUACUAUAGCUUGACACUGAACAUUGAGCCUUGAUGUGUAGGAUAGGUGGGAGGCUUUGAAGUGUGGACGCCAGUCUGCAUGGAGCCGACCUUGAAAUACCACCCUUUAAUGUUUGAUGUUCUAACGUUGGCCCCUNAUCGGGGUUGCGGACAGUGUCUGGUGGGUAGUUUGACUGGGGCGGUCUCCUCCUAAAGAGUAACGGAGGAGCACGAAGGUUGGCUAAUCCUGGUCGGACAUCAGGAGGUUAGUGCAAUGGCAUAAGCCAGCUUGACUGCGAGCGUGACGGCGCGAGCAGGUGCGAAAGCAGGUCAUAGUGAUCCGGUGGUUCUGAAUGGAAGGGCCAUCGCUCAACGGAUAAAAGGUACUCCGGGGAUAACAGGCUGAUACCGCCCAAGAGUUCAUAUCGACGGCGGUGUUUGGCACCUCGAUGUCGGCUCAUCACAUCCUGGGGCUGAAGUAGGUCCCAAGGGUAUGGCUGUUCGCCAUUUAAAGUGGUACGCGAGCUGGGUUUAGAACGUCGUGAGACAGUUCGGUCCCUAUCUGCCGUGGGCGCUGGAGAACUGAGGGGGGCUGCUCCUAGUACGAGAGGACCGGAGUGGACGCAUCACUGGUGUUCGGGUUGUCAUGCCAAUGGCACUGCCCGGUAGCUAAAUGCGGAAGAGAUAAGUGCUGAAAGCAUCUAAGCACGAAACUUGCCCCGAGAUGAGUUCUCCCUGAC